AGAGUGCCUAACAAAUAGCUUUCUGAAUCACCUUGUUUUCUGCCACUGGCAAUCUCAGAAGGAGCUUGGGUCAAAGUACUGUGAGUCAGGGAUUUGUGGAGUCAUCAGCAUAUGUUUUAAAACAUUUCCUGUUUAGUCAAGUACUUAUCUUUGUCUUCAUACCACGUUCUUAGCAUCUCUUUUACUGGAUAUUAUUUUGGGGAGGCAACAGCAGCAGCAAAGACAUAGGCAGUAACAUGGAGCUCUGACCUCUGACAGCAAAACUCCCUUCUCAUUGUAGAGACGACAACUUUUCAAGUCUCAAAACCUUGUCCUCGCUCAUGAAAAACAUAAAAAACCUUAAUUAAGCUGCCCUAUCACGGGCAGCCCAGCUCUGUGCAGCCCCAGGUUAGAUAUGAAAACUCUUUCAGAUAUAUCCCUCCUGUCUGAACAUAAUGUCAUGGAAAAUGAAGUAUGACAGUCAAAUCUGUCGGUAACCAUGAGGAGAAUAGUAAGUCUUCUCCCCGCUCCCGACACGUCUGAUGUUCACAGCGGCGGUUGGCAGAGCUGCUUCAUUCGCUCAUUUCCUUUGCUGUGAGCCAACAUUCCCAGUAGCGUCAGGACAAUUUUAGAAGCAAAAUGCACUCAACUGAACUUCGUCUAUGAAGAGAUGAACAGGUGCUUAUAGCUGAGUUUUCAAGUCCAUAUAUUACCUUGAUGGCUUUUUUUUUUUUUUCUGUCUGAAAUGGAGCAAUUUUUGAAUAUGGGCAUUUAGCCAAUCCCCGAAUCUCAGGAAGCAGUCUCUCCAGAAUUUGUUCAUUCUGGGAAGAAAUGGAAAAGCAGAGAAGAAGAUAGGAGCACGUCUGCAGCACACGGAGAUCGUCUUUCUUCGGAUCCUGACAUGCAUCACAGGCAGACACGCAAUGAGCCCCAUGACGACCACCGGCUCCUGUCUUGCAGGGCUCGGUGCGCUACGUUCACAGCAGCUCUUUCGGGUACCUGCCACUACGUGUUAGUCAUCCUUUGCUAGAAGCCAACGUGCCACGGAACUGAAAACAUGCAAUUCAGUGCAGGGUGUGCUCUGACAGUUGUUUUUCCCUGUCGCUGCAUGAGUAUGCCCCCACCCGGACGUUUCGUGCUGAUGUUUCGUCGUGGAGACAUACUGACCUUUCAGAUGAUUUGUGCUUCACUGGAAGCAGGAGACUGGCCCCAAUUUAACAGAGAUAUUCAUGUGUUUAAAGCCAAGUCUAAAGAACCUUGCUGGGCCCUCCAGCACCCUCAGGGCAGUGUCCUCACCUCCGACGUGACCUCUGGGACGUGGGCUCGGCCCCAGGUCCGCUCCCAGCUGGGCACCUACUCUGCAAACAGCUUCAAAAGGACGUGGUAAUGGAAAAUGGGGAAUCCGGGAUUUGCAGCAGUGAUGUUCCUAUGGAGUAUUCAACAUUUUUUUACUGCAGAAUAUAAUGGGAGAAUCAGUCUUAUGUGAAAAUAGGUUUAGGUUGCAAUCUGGGCAGUUAUAUUUUUAACUCCGUUUAAUGAGGUUAAUGGCUUUUGCUCAGUUUAAAGACAGACAUCCUGUCAUCCUGGUUCCAGGUUCCUUUACACCCAUGAGUUUAUGGUGCUCUGUAUCACAUCUGCUGCUUUCUUCAGUACCAACAAAGCAAUCUAUACCCAUACAUCAUCAAAUAAUGUGUCCUUAUUUUAUUUACUGUACUCUAUGUGAAUUUCUACAGAAGAAAUGUAAGAAUGGGGAAAAAAGGCCUCCAGCUUUUUCCAGUGCACUAUGAUCCCCCCAAAACAGCUUGGAGAUGGGCCACAGGCCACUGUCUUGGAGGAAACUCAAGAGGUAAUCUUCCCAUGCCAAGAUUAGGCCUCAUACAGUCAUCCCUCUCUUUUCUCCUUCCCAGUAAUCCCUUCUCUCUGCAUAUUUACAUCAUCCAUCUAUUUAUUUUUGUAAGUUGUGGCUCUGAUUUCCCAUAAGCAUAAGUGAUGCUGACUGACCACUGCAGCCCAUCACUUGUAUUAAGGAUGACUCUGACUCCACCAUGGCCUCUCACUCUUAUUGCUGAGUAUUUUCUUUGCACACUUCAACAAACGUGAUCCCAAAUUAGAUUUUUCUACAGAUAAGUAGCUGGACACAUCAUCCAUACUCAGCGAUGGAAAGAGAUGUUUAGCUGGACAUAAUUACCUCAACUGUUGACCAUCCUGCCUGCUGAGAAGCCUUGUGCUACGUGACAUCCCUCCUUCUGCCGCGCAGGCAUUUUCAGAACAGCUGGGAGCUGCACCAUCCGCCUGCAUGCUGAUCUGUGACGAGUAAAUGUUGCUCAAACAGUUUUUGUCAGCGUUGAUUUACUUGCUUUGUUUGUUUGUUUGGGGUUUUAAUAAUAGUAUUAAAAGUCUUUGCUCCUGAUGUAUUUGACAUUGUGCCGUUGGUCCAUUAGGAUUUGUUUGAGUGCCGUGCAUUAUUUUUAAUUUGCAUUCACAGUAUGCUCUAUAAUAGCUCACCCUUGAUUUUAGCAAUGGAUGCUGUGCAUUUGUAUUAACAACAGCUCUAAUUUGUGCAAUGUGUAGCAAAAUUCUUU